GCAAAUGUGAGUAGAUCAUUAGGUACUGCUCCGGCGAGAAGGUAACGGCACUCCAUGCCGUCAUGCCGGCCACAUGACCUUGGAGGUGUCUACGGACAACACCAGCUGUUGGGCUUAUAAAUGGAGAUGAACACCAAUUCCCAGAGUUGGACAUGACUGGACUUUUUUUUUGAAAUAUUUUUAUUGGAAAUUUUGUGCUUGAGGUUAAAAAAGAAAUAUGCAAGUAAUAGAGUUUUCACAUCGAAAGUGGGAGAACACUGAUUGUUUAUAGAAAGUAGGAAAUGAUAUAAGAGAGAGAAUAUAAGAAGAAAAAAGGAAAAAGAGAGAAAUUUGUCCGAUUUAUCCUCGGCUUUUUAUUUUGCUAUAUGAAUUUGGAAAUGUCUUUAUGCCAAAUAUUAAAAAUGCUUAGAUUCCUUAUAAUUGGGAACGACUGGAAUAAGUAGAGCAAUUUGGGUAACACAUUCAUUUUGAUAAUUGAGAUUUUGCCAAGAAGAGAUAGCUUCAAAUUUUUCCAGUUAUCCAAAUACUGGACAUGACUGGACUUAAUGUCAGGGGAAAACCUUUACCUUUACCUUAAAUGCAGGUGAGACGUAGCAAUAGCUAAUCAUCAUCAUCAUCAUCAUCAUCAUCAUCAUCAUCAUCAUCAUCAUCAUCAUCAUCAUCGAAGCUAGAGUCCAGGAUUGAUAAACAAAAGUAGGGUCCGAUUGCUAAAAAUGCUCAUUUCCCAAAAACAGCAUUGACUAGUUGUCCACUGGUGUUAGUGGUGAUUUUUAAAACAACAACUCUGAAAAAUGCUUUAGAAUGGCCAAUCUUCUAAAAAAAAUGGAAAUGUAUGGGUUCCAUGGGAUUCAGGGAUCACAUUGGCUCCCCUUUUGCCCAUCUUGUUAAUGCUUUUUCCUUUUUCUUGACAUGACUGCUGAUUUAAGGAAAGCGAGGAAAAAAGACUCACGGAAGGCACUUUGCUAAUAUCAAGCCCGAUGAAUAAUUAAACUCCUUCGAGUGUAAAUGCGUUGAGUUCCAGUUGCUUCUUUAAACCCUGGCUCGGCAGAAGACCUUUUCCUCCUCUCUCCUGAAGGUACAUCGAUAACGCUUUAGCCCCCCGCGGCUGUUGAUGCGGCUGCUGAUGCUUUUCCCCUCCGCGGGGCUCCUGCUCGCUGUUUCCAAAGAUGGACACCAGAUCCCCAAUCCGGCGGCGCAACUUUAAUGCGGCCUUUUGAUGCUCCGCAGCGGGGACUGUGUUUGACAAGCUCAGCCGGCAGGAGGGAACAAGGGAGAAGAGAGCGGAGGGAGAGGAGACCCAGCAGGGCCAGAGCCUCCAAACAAGACAAGCUCGGAAAAUACAAACCCCAGAACAACCAUGUUUUUAAUGCGUCGUGCCUGAAGUUCACAGCUAGACAGAUUCACAUUCGAAAGAGCUGUACUUGCCAGGCCGUGACCGAGCACUUCUGGCAACACGUUGGUGGCGUGGAUGCACCCGUAAUGACUCGGGUCUCAUGCGCCAUCGGAUCUAAUGCGCACCUCCGUUUCCCAAGCCCUGAAACCCAAUAAAGCACUUACUUACUUACUUACUUAGGCGAUCCCUCAUAGUUUGAGGAUGAUUGUCUUCCAUCUUGGGUGUGUAUUCUUGACCUGCAUGUUCUCCUGCAAUGAGGACAUCGGUUCCCAGGUGGAAGGCGGUCCCGGUCAGGGUUGGCUUGACGCUCCUUCCUCUUGGCACGUUUCUCCCCUAAGCCCUCCAUUCGUGCCUCUUCAAACUCCGCAGCACUGCUGGUCACAGCUGACCUCCAAUUAGAGCGCUCAAGGGCCAGGGCUUCCCAGUUCUCAGUGUCUAUGCCACAGCUUUGAGGCCAUCUUUAAAUCUCUUUUCCUGCCCACCAACAUUCCGUUCCCCGUUCUUGAGUUCGGAGUAAAGCAACUGCUUUGGGAGACGGUGAUGGGAUUCGGACAACGUGGCCAGUCCAGCGGAGUUGAUGGCGUAGGAGCAUCGCUUCAAUGAUGAUGGUCUUUGCUUACUCAAGCAUGCUGACAUUUGUCCACCUGUCUUCCCAAGAGAUUUGCAGGAUUUUUCCGAGACAACGCUGAUGGAAACGCUCCAGGAGUUUGGUGUGAUGUCUGUAGACCGUCCAUGUUUCACAGGGUUGGGAGGGGAAUGGCUUUAUAAACAAGCACCUUGGUUUCUCUACGGAUGUUCUGAUCAUCAAACACUCUCUGAUUCAUUCUGAAAAAUGCUGCACUCGCAGAGCUCAGCCGGUGUUGUAUUUCAGUGUCGAUGUUGACUUUUGUGGAGAGGUGGCUGCCAAGGUAGCGGAAAUAGUCAACGUUUUCUAAUGUUACACCAUUAAGCUAUAUUCCUGGCAUUGCAGAGGGAUUAGCGGGUGCCUGUUGGAAGAGCACUUUGGUUUUCUCGAUGUUCAAUGAGAGGCCGAGCUUCUUGUAUGCUUCUGCAAAGGUGUUUAGGGUGGCUUGUAUGUCUUCUUCUGAGUGCGCACAAUAAAGUAUUUGCUGGUCUAAACUUAGAAAAAUUCCUCAUCAUACACUCUAAUGGGGUGUGGCAUUUCUUACUCUCUCCCUGCCCUAUUUUCCUCCUAGGGUGGUACCUAUCUGGUUGUGGCACACUCUCAAAUGGGCAAUCUCAACCUCUCACCCUGAUGUGUCUUUCUGUUUACUAGUCUAGACUUUUUUCUUCCCCGAAACAAAAACUCUACUUGCCUGGUCCUGAUGCCUGGCAUUCCCUGCCGUUCCCGGGGACGAGAUUUCUGAACUUCUCUCUCGGGUGGAGUGUUCCCGCUGGCGAUGGCAGCCUAUCUGGUCGAGCGAGAAGGGACGGUCUGAUGUUAUUUCGGGAUCCCGUUUCUCGUCCUCUUGGUCGAUCGCCUUGACCGGGCAGCGGUCGCCUUCACGGAACGAGUUGACAACAACUCCUAGCGUCCCGCCAAGCCAGCACUCCUGCCUUUCGCCCCACGUUGGGCACCAGAAAUGUUGGGGACCCCCGGCUUGGGGUCUCCGUGUGGUCCGUGGCAGUAGGCAGCAAAUGAUGAGAGACCAGUCUCCAGAGGUAAAGCAGAAUCUCAUUUAUUUUCCUUGCACAGCUGUGAAGUGGCAGAACAGUCAGAACUCCGGAGAGUUCUAUUCAAAGGACUUCUGCCCCGAAUGAGUCGAGGGCCACUGCUUUUAUAGCCAGUAAUAAACAUCUUACAUCAACAAUUUCAGACGUCUUAGGUCAACAAUUUCAUUUCCCUUAUGUAUGUAUUUCUUAACUUUUCUAUACUAUUUUUAAUUAUGCUUAUGGUUAUGGUUUCGCAAAACAAAGACCAAAAGGAAGUGGGUGAGGGUACAUCUGGAUGGGAGAGGGACUUUUCUUCCUAUACAUCUCUCUGGGUCAUCUUGACCUAGUAGACUUGACCUGACUCCCUUCCUCCGGCUUGGGGUUUCAUUCUGCUGACAUCUUGUUUCUUUGUCUCUCCCCCGCACCAUCUUGAGCAUCUUGAGCAAUGUGACAAUGACCAACGGAGCAACUUUUUAUCCCCACUUGGAACAUUUGUCCUAGCUUGCUAACCACAAAUGCAUCACAGAAUAACAGACAAAGGUUAACUUCUCUAUUGCUGUCUCCUCAAUCUUACAGAAAGGAAAAAGGUUGAGGGGUUCUCUUUAGUUCAAGUUGUCAGCAAAGCUUCUUAAUCACUUUAAUCAAUAGCCUCUAUCAAGGCGAUCCCUCGUAGUUCGAGGACGAUUGUCUUCAAUCUUGGCGGUGUGUCCGUAGAUGGCUGAAGAGACCUAUUCUUGACCCGCAUGUUCUCCCUUCCGCAGUGAGGACAUCGGUUUCCAGAUGGAAGGCGGUCCUGGUCAGGGUUGGCUUGACGCUCCUUCCUCUUGGCACGUUUCUCCCUUAAGCCCUCCAUUUGUGCCUCUUCGAACUCCGCAGCACUGCUGGUCACAGCUGACCUCCAAUUAGAGCGCUCAAGAGCCAGGGCUUCCCAGUUCUCAAUGUCUAUGCCACAGCUUUGAGGCCAACUUUAAAUCUUUUUUCCUGCCCAUCAACAUUACGUUUCCCGUUCUUGAGUUCGGAGUAGAGCAACUGCUUUGGGAGACGGUGAUCUUGGGCAUUCGGACAUCGUGCCCAGUCCAGCAGAGUUGAUGGCGUAGGAGCAUGGCUUCAAUGCUGGUGGUCUUUGCUUCCUCAAGCACGCUGACAUUUGUCCGCCUGUCUUCCCAAGAGAUUUGCAGUAUUUUUCAGAGGCAACGCUGAUGGAAACACUCCAGGAGUUUGGUGUGAUGUCUGUAGACCAUCCACGUUUCACAGGGUUGGGAGGGGAAUGGCUUUAUAAACAAGCACCUAGGUUUCUCUACGGAUGUUCUGUUCAUCAAACACUCUCUGCUUCAUUCUGAAAAAUGCUGCACUCGCAGAGCUCAGCCGGUGUUGUAUUUCAGUGUCGAUGUUAACUUUUGUGGAGAGGUAGCGGAAAUGGCCCACAUUUUCUAAUGUUACACCAUUAAUCUGUAUACCUGGCAUUGCAGAGGGAUUAGCUGGUGCCUGUUGGAAGAGCUUUGGUUUUCUCCAUGUUCAGUGAGAGGCUGAGCUUCUAGUAUGCUUCUGCGAAGGUGUUUAGUGUGGCUUGUAUGUCUUCUUCUGAGUGCGCACAAUAAAGUAUUGUGAAUGUAA